CUGAGGCGCCAUCUGUAGGGAGCCUCUGACCACAUAUUCAGAUCAAGUGUAAAUGGUCUCUUAGACUCCAUCUUUUAGCAACAUGUUACGUUACUCUUACGUUGUGUCAUUGUCCUGAAGACUAAGGGCUGGAUUUAAUCCUUAUCGCGGACGAUCUGCCAAGAAAACAUGUGAUAGUAAUUUCUGAUUGAGCCUAGCCAUGCAGCGUUUACAGGGAAUGUGGUCUCCAGACACAUUGCCUUUUCAAAUGUAAAUCUAUCAUCAACUAGGAUCUUCUGCAAUACGUCUGAUUCGGAUCAAAUCCAGCCCUAAUGUUCAAACUCCAACUGAUCUAACACUGUCUGUGUGUAUCUGUGUGUUUGCAGGGUAAACACUGUAAGAAGUUGAUGUCCAAGCAGUCCUAAAGUCCCAAUUGGACGCCCUCCCUCCACCCUCACUGCCACCUCACUGCCACCUCCACCCCCCUUCUCCUGGUCCAUGGGAGUUUUUUUUUUUUUUAAAUGAAUGGAAAAAUGUGAUUCCUCCUACCACUAGUGCACUUUUUCAGUUUCCUUCCAUCUUCAGUCUUUAUCCAGCAGACCAUGUUGUUUCUUCUGUCAGUUUUUACCCAGCAUGCCAUGUUGUUUCCUUCUGUCUUCAGUUUUUACCCAGCAUGCCAUGUUGUUUCCUUCUGUCUUCAGUUUUUACCCAGCAGACCAUGUUGUUUCCUUCUGUCUUCAGUUUUUACCCAGCAUGCCAUGUUGUUUCCUUCUGUCUUCAGUUUUUACCCAGCAGACCAUGUUGUUUCCUUCUGUCUUCAGUUUUUACCCAGCAGACCAUNNNNNNNNNNAUAACUUCACAUUUGUAUACUUGCCCCCCUCACUCCCUAUUUCUCAAUCUGAUUGAGGAAUUAUUUUCGGCUUGGGGUUGGAAAGUGUUUGACCGCCAACCACAACCGCCUGCCUCUUCUGUAAACAAUGGAAGAGGCAUGCAGAGACAUUGAGGUGGACACAGUCCAGGGUUGGAUACGGCACGCAAUGCAACAUUUUAUCCAGGGAUGACGUUGCUUGUGACGUGGAUGAGGUGAUGUGGCCAGACCCUAACAGAAGGCAGGAUCCAUAAACCGUCCUGUCCUGUCACGUUCUGACCUUUAUUUCCGUUGUUUUGUCAUUAUUUAGUAUGGUCAGGGCGUGAGUUGGGGUGGGCAGUCUAUGUUUGUUUUUCUAUGAUUUGGGGAUUUCUAUGUUUCGGCCUAGUAUGGUUCUCAAUCAGAGGCAGGUGUCAUUAGUUGUCUCUGAUUGAGAAUCAUACUUAGGUAGCCUGGGUUUCACUGUGUGUUUGUGGGUGAUUGUCUAUGUUGAUUGCUUGUGUUCAGCACAGUUCUCAUUAGCUUCACGGUCGUUAUUUCGUUUAUUGUUUUUGUACAGUGUGUUUCCGUGUCUGUGUUUUUCACCACACGGUACUGUUUUGGGUUCUGUUCGUUCCACAUUUAUUGUUUUUGUAUUUCAGUCGUGUUCAUGUGUAGUACUUCUUAUUAAAAGAACCAUGGACACUUACCACGCCGCAUAUUGGUCCUCCGAUCCUUCUCGCCUCUCCUCUUCGGAAGAAGAGGAGGAAAUCCCUGACAACUCCAUCUCUUACAAUCCCUUUUACAAUACUUUUGUUUACCACUGUUGUUAUUUUUCUUUCUGUG
rnacentral:lncRNA from 13 species